rnacentral:rRNA from 1 species
GGAUGAACGCUAGCUACAGGCUUAACACAUGCAAGUCGAGGGGCAUCAUUGAGAUAGCUUGCAUUCAGAUGGCGACCGGCGCACGGGUGAGUAACGCGUAUCCAACCUUCCCUAGUAGGGCAUAGCCCGGCGAAAGUCGGAUUUAAUACCCUAUGUUUUCCAAUGAGGACAUCUGAGCUGGAACAAAGAUUCAUCGCUAAGGGAUGGGGAUGCGUCUGAUUAGGUAGUAGGCGGGGUAACGGCCCACCUAGCCGACGAUCAGUAGGGGUUCUGAGAGGAAGGUCCCCCACACUGGUACUGAGACACGGACCAGACUCCUACGGGAGGCAGCAGUGAGGAAUACUGGUCAAGUGGGCGUAAGCCUGAACCAGCCAAGUAGCGUUGCAGGAUGACUGCCCUAUGGGUUGUAAACUGCUUUUAUGCGGGGAUAAAGUGAGGGACGUGUCCCUUUUUGUAGGUACCGCAUGAAUAAGGACCGGCUAAUUCCGUGCCAGCCGCCGC